CAGGCCCUGCCUCUGUCAUCCCGUAUCCCUGACCAAGUGUGGCUUGAGGAAACUUGGCCCUAACAGUAUCUUCAAGCUCCUUCCCCAGGGGAGCUGCCCCUGACUUGAGCAUCCGUAUCGAUGACAAAUCAUACUUUUCGGUAUCUGGCGACUUGGCAAUGGACAAAACAAUCGGUGGCACAAUCGGAGCAAUCGUGAUCUUAUAUUUCUGUAUCAGCUGCAACAGGGCACCAAUCUCAAACUUUGGCAUAAUCAAAAUGGCAGCCCCAACUCGCAACCC
rnacentral:misc_RNA from 1 species